rnacentral:tRNA from 1 species
CGGGCUGUAGCGAAGCUUGGUAUCGCGCCUGGUUCGGGACCAGGAAGCCGUGGGUUCAAAUCCCACCAGCCCGA